rnacentral:rRNA from 1 species
UGGGGAAUAUUGGACAAUGGGGGGAACCCUGAUCCAGCCAUGCCGCGUGUGUGAAGAAGGCCUUUUGGUUGUAAAGCACUUUAAGCGAGGAGGAGGCUACUAGUACUAAUACUACUGGAUAGUGGACGUUACUCGCAGAAUAAGCACCGGCUAACUCUGUGCCAGCAGCCGCGGUAAUACAGAGGGUGCGAGCGUUAAUCGGAUUUACUGGGCGUAAAGCGUGCGUAGGCGGCUGAUUAAGUCGGAUGUGAAAUCCCUGAGCUUAACUUAGGAAUUGCAUUCGAUACUGGUUAGCUAGAGUGUGGGAGAGGAUGGUAGAAUUCCAGGUGUAGCGGUGAAAUGCGUAGAGAUCUGGAGGAAUACCGAUGGCGAAGGCAGCCAUCUGGCCUAACACUGACGCUGAGGUACGAAAGCAUGGGGAGCAAACAGG